rnacentral:lncRNA from 1 species
AGGGAGGGUGAGGUCACAAACACUCAAACACUAACACCACAUGUCCUUUAUUACCACAGUGGAGCUCUUUACAAAUUAUUACUCAGCCAGGCCAAGGGAAAUGGCAGAAUGCUGUGCGUUUUCCUGAUCAGAUCUCGUGGUAUAGGUCUGUACAGCAUUAUGUCUCGUGGGCCCCUAGUCUUCCUCAAGAAGUGAGCCAGGAUCAGAAGAAAGACCUGUCUCUGAAUAUUCUGUUCGUGGAUAGCAUCCUACCAACAGUAGCUAGAGAUUUCAUUCUUCUGGUUUCCACUCAUACUACGUCCCCAACCACUCCUGGAGACCAGCUGGCAGAACAGGGGGCAGGGAAAUGGAGGCAAGUUUCCAAGGACAAAAGAUUUUCUAGACACAAGACCCAAACCAGGGCACCACUGCUGCUGAGUGGAUACGGAGCAGAACACAGACCAGAGCACGGACAAAGCAAGGAGGAGAACACGGAGCAGAGCACAGACCAGAACACGGACCAAAGCAAGGAGGAGAACACGGAGCAGAGCACGGAGCAGAGCACAGCCAGAGUGCCCUUUCCAUUGCUCCGUGGAUGAGCCAAGGCCACAGCUCCUUUAGCCAGAACAAAAUUAAGAAAUGCCAACAUCGUAUGCCGGUUCCACAUGAGGGGGAGAAGCGGGGAACUGGCUAACUGUGACUGUGAUGGGCAGGAAAAACAUCUCAGAGAAGCUUGCAUCUCAGGUGAGCAACACAUACGACACUGUUACAAUUCAAAAACACCGACGUAUAUAGCAGGUAUUAUGAAAAUGAGAACAGUAAAAGAAAUAAGCAAGCAUUCACACUCACGCCUUCUAAAAUAUUAAGGCCUCAAUUAACCGUCAUAGCCACUCUUCACUGAGAGCUUAGCGAGCGCCACGCCUAGCGUAAGGCGCCUGAUGCACAUGAACAACCCCAUGAAGCAGGCAUGUGCAUCACUCCCU